GGUUCUGAGAGGAAGGCCCCCCACACUGGGACUGAGACACGGCCCAGACUCCUACGGGAGGCAGCAGUGAGGAAUAUUGGACAAUGGAUGGAAAUCUGAUCCAGCCAUGCCGCGUGCAGGAAGACAGCCCUAUGGGUUGUAAACUGCUUUUAUAUGGGAGCAAUAAGGUCUACGUGUAGACUGAUGAGAGUACCAUAUGAAUAAGCAUCGGCUAACUCCGUGCCAGCAGCCGCGGUAAUACGGAGGAUGCGAGCGUUAUCCGGAUUUAUUGGGUUUAAAGGGUGCGUAGGCGGCCGAGUAAGUCAGCGGUGAAAUUUUGCAGCUUAACUGUAACAGUGCCGUUGAUACUGCAUGGCUAGGAUUUGGUUGCUGUGGGUGGAAUGUGUGGUGUAGCGGUGAAAUGCUUAGAUAUCACACAGAAUAUCAAUUGCGAAGGCAGCUCACAAAGCCAAGAUUGACGCUGAGGCACGAAAGUGUGGGGAUCAAACAGGAUUAGAUACCCUGGUAGUCCACACUGUAAACGAUGAUAACUCACUGCCGGCGAUACACAGUCGGUGGCCAAGCGAAAGCGAUAAGUUAUCCACCUGGGGAGUACGACCGCAAGGUUGAAACUCAAAGGAAUUGACGGGGGGCCCGCACAAGCGGAGGAACAUGUGGUUUAAUUCGAUGAUACGCGAGGAACCUUACCCGGGCUCGAACGGUGCAUGAAUAAGCAAGAGAUUGUUUAGUCCUUCGGGACAUGUAUCGAGGUGCUGCAUGGUUGUCGUCAGCUCGUGCCGUGAGGUGUCGGCUUAAGUGCCAUAACGAGCGCAACCCUUGUUGUUAGUUACCAACAGGUAAAGCUGGGGACUCUAACGAGACUGCCACCGUAAGGUGUGAGGAAGGGGGGGAUGACGUCAAAUCAGCACGGCCCUUAUGUCCGGGGCGACACACGUGUUACAAUGGGGGGUACAGAGGGCAGCCAUCCGGUGACGGAGCGCCAAUCUCCAAAACCCUUCUCAGUUCGGAUUGGAGUCUGCAACCCGACUCCAUGAAGUUGGAUUCGCUAGUAAUCGCGCAUCAGCCAUGGCGCGGUGAAUACGUUCCCGGGCC
rnacentral:rRNA from 1 species